AAAGCAUUGAUGUGAGUGUGCUACAUGAGGGGCAAGUGUUUUAAAUAAUGCUCCAUUCUUAUCCAAUGACUGGAAUCUGAUAGCAAUCCUUGCUAGAAGU
rnacentral:snoRNA from 1 species